ACUUAUGUCCGCCAUUUUGUUCCAAUAUUGCGGAAUUGACUGAUUCACGAACUUGACCGAAAUAUUUAUGAGUUAGACCAACCGUUAAAGUUAGGUCGAAAUCGUUUCAUAAUUACGAAAGUUAGUGUUCCUUGGAAGUGAUAUACAUCUCUAAAUCUAUAAAUAUACUGGUACCAUUACAAUAGCUUUCAGACUAAGCACUGCAGGAAUAACACAAUUGUACGAAUAUGCCAAAAACCAGAACGUUCUACAAUAUUCCGUUGCCGAGAUCUCGUUUGAUUUAUAAGGCGUCCAAACAAACGACGGUGAAAUAAUUAGCUUCUUUUUUAGAAUCAAAAAUACGCUAAAAAUCCCCAUUAAGAGAGUCAUAAAUUCAUUAAAGUGAACCUUGGGAAAUCAUGGAGGGAAGAAGUCAAUGUCGGCUGUUUGUGCCUUUUAUUGAAAAUAACCAAAUAUCAUACAUACUUCUUGGUAAGAAACUAAACUGGCAAAAUAUGUUACAAUUUUUAAAAAAAGCAAUCUUGGAUUUAUGGGCUGUUUAAUGUUUUGUUUUUAUAUGAAAAAGAUUACAAACUUCUCAUAAUAAUGAACUACAAGAAGACUAGCUGCUUGGACACUGUAAUUUCACUAUAUUUUUGAUAAUAAAAAAACAACCCAUACG